GGUGAACGCUGGCGGUAGGCCUAACACAUGCAAGUCGAACGGCAGCACAGAGGAGCUUGCUCCUUGGGUGGCGAGUGGCGGACGGGUGAGGAAUACAUCGGAAUCUACUCUGUCGUGGGGGAUAACGUAGGGAAACUUACGCUAAUACCGCAUACGACCUACGGGUGAAAGCAGGGGACCUUCGGGCCUUGCGCGAUUGAAUGAGCCGAUGUCGGAUUAGCUAGUUGGCGGGGUAAAGGCCCACCAAGGCGACGAUCCGUAGCUGGUCUGAGAGGAUGAUCAGCCACACUGGAACUGAGACACGGUCCAGACUCCUACGGGAGGCAGCAGUGGGGAAUAUUGGACAAUGGGCGCAAGCCUGAUCCAGCCAUACCGCGUGGGUGAAGAAGGCCUUCGGGUUGUAAAGCCCUUUUGUUGGGAAAGAAAUCCAGCUGGCUAGUACCCUGGGGUCAUGACGGUACCGUAAGAAUAAGCACCGGCUAACUACGUGCCAGCCGCCGCGGUAA
rnacentral:rRNA from 1 species